rnacentral:rRNA from 1 species
AGAGUUUGAUCCUGGCUCAGAUUGAACGCUGGCGGCGUGCCUAACACAUGCAAGUCGAGCGGUAACAGGCGUAGCAAUACGUGCUGACGAGCGGCGAACGGGUGAGUAAUGCUUCGGAAUCUACCCAGUAAUGGGGAAUAACCAUCCGAAAGGAUGGCUAAUACCGCAUACGUCCUACGGGAGAAAGCGGGGGAUCGUAA